rnacentral:rRNA from 1 species
UGAACGCUGGCGGCAUGGCUAAAACAUGCAAGUCGAACGCGUGUAGCAAUACACGAGUGGCGAAAGGGCGAGGAAUAGAUUCCUACGUACCCCGGAGUCAGGGAUAACCAUCGGAAACGAUGGCUAACACCUGAUGAUCUCGAAAGAGCAAAGUUUACGCUCUGGGAGCGGGGAAUCUCCUAUCAGUUAGUUGGUGAGGUAACGGCUCACCAAGGCUAAGACGGGUAGCGGGUGUGAGAGCACGGCCCGCCGCAUCGGGACUGAGACACUGCCCGGACUCCUACGGGAGGCUGCAGUAACGAAUCUUCCGCAAUGCGCGAAAGCGUGACGGGGCAAUGCCGCGUGUGGGAUGAAGCCCCUCGGGGGUGUAAACCACUGUCAGGGUGCAGGAACACAAUGACCAUACCCGAAAGGAAGCACCGGCUAACUCUGUGCCAGCAG